rnacentral:siRNA from 1 species
AUAUGAGGUGGCCAACUUUCAUA